UUUCAUUGCAGACAGUGGGGUCCGAUAAGGCUGUUCUGGCCACUAGAUGGUGGUUGUGUUUAUCGAAGACUACUGGAUGCCUGCCAAAUAUCUGUGUUAGUCCAUUUUCACACUGCUAUAAAGAAAUACCCAAGACUGGGUCACUUAUAAAAGAAAGAGGUUUCAUUGACUCACAGUUCCGCAUGGCUGGGGAGGCCUCCGGAAACUUACAAUUAUAAGGUCAUGCUUUGGCAGGAGAAAGAGAAGCAAGUACCUUCUUCACAAGGAAGCAGGAAAGAGAGAGGGUGCACAAAGGGGAAAGAGCCCCUUAUAAAACCAUCAGAUCUCGUGAGAAACCCCUCACUAUUAUGAGAACAGCAUGGGGCAAACCACCCCCAUGAUCCAAUCACCUCCCACCAAGCCCCUCCCUUGACAUGUGGGGAUUACAAUUGAGAUAUUGAGCUUGGAACGCAGGAGGCGAUGCUUCUGCCCUCUUGACUCUGGUUAGAAUGUGCAUCAGGUGAAUCCUGUUUAGUCCUGGUUGCUGAACCACAGAGGGAGUUGAACAUACUGGAGCUUAUCCAGGCAAUAUGACCGUCAGGAAACUGCAUCACUGAGGAAGUUCUGAGGGAGUUGGAACUAGACAGUUUAAAGCGACGGCCGGACAAGCUAGUGUCUCCUAGGAGCCAAUGGCUAAGGGCAGAGGGAGCAGAGGGGUUCUGUAUGGCCCUGGAGUGCAGAGCAAGUAUCGGUGAACCGAAGUUACAGGGAGGCAGAUGUUUGUCUAAGACAAAGAAUCUUCUCGGGGUCAGAGCUGUCCGUGUGGACCGGAAGCCUGGGGAGGGAGUGAACAGCACAACCUGAGAGAAGUUUGAGAGGAGGCUGAGGAGUUCCUCUGCUCCCCCAGGAAGUGUGGAGCAGAAACCACAUCUCAGAUGCCCGCAGGAGCCAGGCCAACUUUAUGGGAGAAUUUAGCUUAAGAAAGAGGGUUUAAGUCGCCUGAAAUGUGUGUGAGUUCACCCUGGACGAGCUUCUGCUGCCAAUUGCAUCACAGGAAACACUCUUCCUAUGUCUAACUGUGUCCAGAAUUGGUUCCUGCCUAUGGGUUCUUGGUCUCACUGACUUCAAGAAUGAAGCCGCAGACCCUCGUGGUGAGUGUUACAAUUCUUAAAGAUGGUAUGUCUGGAGUUUGUUCCUUCAGAUGUUCAGAUGUGUCCAGAGUUUCUUACUUCUGGUGGGUUCGUGGUCUUGCUGACUUCAGGAGUGAAGCCGCAGACCUUUGCAAUGAGUGUUACAGCUCAUAAAGGUAGUGCAGACCCAAAGCGUGAGCAGCAGCAAGAUUUAUUGUGAAGAGCAAAAGAACAAAGCUUCCACAGUGUGGAAGAGGACCUCAGCCAGUUGCAGCUGCUGGUUUGGGUGGCGAGCUUUUACUCCCUUAUUUGGCCCUGCCCAUGCCCUGCUGAUCGGUCCAUUCUACAGAGCGCUGAUUGGUCCACUUUACAGAGUGCUGAUUGGUCCAUUUUUAGAGUGCUGAUUGGUGCAUUUACAAACCUUUAGCUAGACACAGAGCGCUGAUUGGUGCGUUUUUACAGAGUGCUGAUUGGUCUGUUUACAAACCUUUAGCUAGACGCAGAGCACUGAUUGGUGUGUUUUUACUAGUGCUGAUUGUUGUGCUUACAAACUUUUAGCUAGACACAGAGCGCUGAUUGGUGCGUUUUUACAGAGUGCUGAUUGGUGUGUUUACAAACCUUUAGCUAGAUGCAGAGCACUGAUUGGUGUGUUUUUACGAGUGCUGAUUGUUGUGCUUACAAACUUUUAGCUAGACACAGAGCGCUGAUUGGUGCGUUUUUACAGAGUGCUGAUUGGUGCAUUUACAAACCUUUAGGUAGACACAGAGCGCUGAUUGGUGUGUUUACAAUCCUUUAGCUAGACAGAAAAGUUCUCCAAGUCCCCACCCGACCCAGAAGCCCAGCUGGCUUCACCUCUCAUAACUAAUUCAAGUAUCUCUUUAAUUAGUUUUGACUUGCAGUUAAUCUAAAUGGAUUCUCCACAGGGAACAGCAGUCGCAGUGCAGAAGCUCUUUGCUUUUGCUUUUGGGUAACUGGCCUAACAAACAGAUUUUACACUUUAUAUUGAAAUAAUUCCUAUGUCAUUAUUACUAAGUUUUGGUCUGCUUAGAAAAAACUGAGAUUAAAAGAAAAACUAUUUUUCAUUAAGGUUAUUACAUCUGUGUAACUUUCUGUAUGUGCUUUUAAAGUCCUUGUGCCAUCAAGUUACAGGGUUUAGACUCCUGGGUCUAAAAAGGAUGCCAAGUCCGGCUAAAUCUUAAACACUGACAGCAGUUAAAGCUUUAUCUUCAGACCCUGUAGAAGAUACCAAUCAAAAUAAACUGUGUUCAUGAGACACAGGGCCAGAAAUUAAAACUAUUCAACUCCUCAAGACCCAGGAACUAUCAUGGAAGACAUGGGUGUGUGACAUUGUAAGGGUCAAUUUUGAGAGAUAAAAUAAGUUUAGUUUCUCUAUAAAUUAACCAUUAAUGUCGAAGGCACUGAUGCAAGACUAGCAUAUGGGCCUCUGAGUCAGAUUAACAAGGUUUUCUUGGAGCGUUAACCCACUCCUUAAUAAAAGGUUAUAAAAAAGGCUUAUGGAAAUUACAUCUUAUGGUCAAGAUGAUUAAACUAUUUAAUAUUAUAGGCUGUUUAUAAAAUUUUGGAGAACAAGUUUAAUUGGCCUCAUCCUGUCUUUAUUAAGGCUUAUUGUUUGGGAAAUGAAGUCUCCUCUCAAAGAAUAAAGGUUUUCGCCUUAAAAAAAAUCUUUGAGUUAUCGCUUUGUCUAAAUGAAUGACUUUACAAUGACCUGUGAUCCUACUUUGUGAUAUUAAGUGUUUUAAACUUUUUAUGUUUGACAAACCUUCGACAAUCAAAUUCUAACUUUGGUCCUCAUUAAUUUUUUGAUAUUAGUCCCCUGAAGUCCAAAAGAGACAUAUUUGGUUUAUUUGAUAUAAUAAAAUCAUACAGGAAGUAUUGUCAAGUAUAAAACAAUGUUUAAUCUUCUUUGGAUUAUAUUUAUGCACAUAUGUUAUUGGUAUAUGUUUGAGAAUUGUAUGAAAUUCCUGUGAUUCUGAUAUGACUUGGCAUAUGUUAUCAGUGGUAAUUAUUAUUAUUAUGUAAUUGUGGUAAUUAUAAUUAUGUAAAAUUGUUGUAUGCCACAGAAGUAACCAAAUAUCUUUGUCAAUUGUGUCUUUAUGACUGUUCUAAGACUUUUGUUAUCCACAGUUGUUUUACUUUUAUCCUAUUCAAAAGGUGGUUUUAUAAUCAGCUGUGGGACUCUGACAGGUGCUCUUGAAUGCAGGCUUCUAAUAACUUUGGAGACUGUGACACUAGAAUAGAGGAAAAACUUCCAAGACUCCAGUGGAGAGCUGAAAUGUUCAUGAAUAUCAAGCAGAAAAGAAGUUAACUGCAUGGACUGAACUAAUAGAAAACUGAAAUAGUCCUUUUAUGACUUUUUGCCUAAAACAUUGCUGACCCUUUGUUUUUCAGAGCCAAGAAAACUUUUCUUUUGAGCUAUUUAUAGCUUUUAACAAUGGAGUAAAGUAUAUUUCUGUAAACAAAAUUUGGAGCAUAUUUCUCUCUACCUGAUUUCUCCAAAAUUUAGAAACUAGUUGUGAGUAUUCUUAACUUAUGGCAAUAUAGUUAUUUGCAUACAUGCAAUAAGAAUCUUUCCUCUGAGAAAGAUUCUUUCUCAAGAAUGUUCCUUUGUAACAGGGCACAAUUGGAGACACUGGUUAUUUUACCAAGGUUUUGACUGGAAUAGGAUGCUUUCAGAUACAAACAGACUCCUUUAAAGAAUGAAAGUUGACUUUAGAGCCAAU
rnacentral:lncRNA from 1 species